rnacentral:rRNA from 1 species
UCGGGAAACUGAGAAUAAUGCCCAAUAGUCCACUACGCCUGGAACGGUGAGUGGAUCAAAGCCCCGGCGGCAUAGGAUGGGCCUGCGCCGUAUCAGGUUGUAGGGGGUGUAAAGUACCCUCUAGCCAUCAACGCGUACGGGUGUUGGGAGACAUUGCCCGGAGAUGGAUUCUGAGACACGAAUCCAGACCCUACGGGGUGCAGCAGGCGCGAAAACUUGGCAAUGCGAGCAAUCGUGACCAGGGAACUCCAAGUGCGUAGGGUAAGACCUACGCUUUUCUUGACUCUACAAAGGUCUUGGAAUAAGGGGUGGGUAAGGACGGUGCCAGCCGCCGCGGUAAUACCGGCGCCUCAAGUGGUAGUCGCUUUUAUUGGGCCUAAAACGUCCGUAGCCGGUCUGGUGCAUUCGUGGGUAAAUCAACCCGCUCAACGGGUUGAAUUCUGCGAGCACGGCCAGACUUGGGACCGGGAGAGGUGUGGGGUACUUUCGGGGUAGGGGUAAAAUCCUGUCAUCCCGAAAGGACCACCUGUUGCGAAGGCGCCACACUAGAACGGAUCCGACGGUCAGGGACGAAACCUAGGGGCACGAACCGGAUUAGAUACCCGGGUAGUCCUAGGUGUAAACGCUGUGGACUUGAUGUUGGGGGUGCUCCGAGCUCCCUCAGUGUCGAAGCGAAGGUGAUAAGUCCACUGCCUGGGGAGUACGGUCGCAAGGCUGAAACUUAAAGGAAUUGGCGGGGGAGCACUGCAACCUGAGGAUUGUGCGGUUUAAUUGGAUUCAACGCCGGAAAACUCACCAUGGCCGACGGACAAAUGAAGGCCAGCGUAACGAGCUUGCUGGAUUGUUCGAGAGGUAUUGCAUGGCCGUCGUCAGUUCGUACCGCAAGGCGUUCUGUUAAGUCAGAUAACGAACGAGACCCUCAUCCCUAUUUGCCAGUUGCAUCGCCAGAUGCAACGCACUAUAGGGAGACCGCUGUCGAUAAGGCAGAUGAAGGCGAGGGCAACGGUAGGUCAGUAUGAUCCGAAUGCCAUGGGCUACACGCGCAAUACAAAGGACGGGACAAUGGGCUGCAACUCCGAGAGGAACGACGCUAUCCCGAAACCCGUUCGUAGUUCGGAUUGAGGGCUGUAACUCGCCCUCAUGAAGCUGGAUUAGGUAGUAAUCGCGUCUCAAUAG